GAAGCGAUAAAGCAUAGAAAAAUCGUCUGCACACUCGGUCACGUAAGGAAAUUAAGGAAAAGUUAUCAUUAUGGAAAGAUCAAAUAAGAAACCUGGAAAAAUGCAGUUCAUUAAAAGUUUUUACAACGAUCCCUUCAGAUGGUCGUUGGUGAAGAGUGUGGCUUUGUUCGCCUUGGGAGUCAAGCUAGCACGUGAGUCGAUCGGCGUGGACCUUAUGGCCCCUCAAAUUCAAUAAAAAUAUUAGUGUUCAAACAGUAACAAAUAAAAUAAGCCAACAAAAAUCUGAAAAUUGUUUUUUAAUUGACUAAUCUGUGUUUGAUACACAUGUUGAU